UGGUAUGGCUCAGUCGGUAGAGCGACGCACUCGUAAUGCGUAGGUCGCCGGUUCGAAUCCGGCUACC
rnacentral:tRNA from 3 species